UUUUUUUUUUUUUUUUUUUUUUUUUUUUUUUUUUUCUUUUCCAAAAAGUAUCGCCAUAGUCACCGUCAAAAUGUCUAUUUGAAAAAAAGAGAGCGCGCACGCGCAUGUUCUAGCGUUCCAUCCAAGAAAAAGUGUACCCCCCUAAAACCUUUGUAUUUUUGUUUUUCCAAAAAAAAAAAAAAGCCCAAAAUGUUAAUUUGCAUCU
rnacentral:ribozyme from 1 species